GGCAAUAGCUCAGUUGGUAGAGCGCGACCUUGCCAAGGUCGAGGUCGCGGGUUCGAGUCCCGUUUGCC
rnacentral:tRNA from 1 species